rnacentral:rRNA from 1 species
CAGUCGAACGGAGAUUAUACGCAGAGGCGAUUUCGGUCAAAUCAUGUAAAAUCUUAGUGGCGGACGGGUGAGUAACGCGUGGGUAACCUGCCUUACACUGGGGGAUAACACUUAGAAAUAGGUGCUAAUACCGCAUAAGCGCACGAAGCCGCAUGGAUUUGUGUGAAAAACUCCGGUGGUGUAAGAUGGACCCGCGUCUGAUUAGCUUGUUGGCGGGGUAACGGCCCACCAAGGCGACGAUCAGUAGCCGGCCUGAGAGGGUGGACGGCCACAUUGGGACUGAGACACGGCCCAAACUCCUACGGGAGGCAGCAGUGGGGGAUAUUGGACAAUGGGGGGAACCCUGAUCCAGCGACGCCGCGUGAGUGAAGAAGUAUUUCGGUAUGUAAAGCUCUGUCAGCAGGGAAGAAAGAAAUGACGGUACCUGACCAAGAAGCCCCGGCUAACUACGUGCCAGCAGCCGCGGUAAUACGUAGGGGGCAAGCGUUAUCCGGAAUUACUGGGUGUAAAGGGAGCGUAGACGGUUAAGUAAGUCUGGAGUGAAAGGCCGGGGCCCAACCCCGGGACUGCUCUGGAAACUAUUCAACUUGAGUGCAGGAGAGGUAAGCGGAAUUCCUAGUGUAGCGGUGAAAUGCGUAGAUAUUAGGAGGAACACCAGUGGCGAAGGCGGCUUACUGGACUGUAACUGACGUUGAGGCUCGAAAGCGUGGGGAGCAAACAGGAUUAGAUACCCUGGUAGUCCACGCCGUAAACGAUGAUUACUAGGU